GUACGUGAAGACUGCAGGGGUCAGCAAGAAGGCGGCAUUGCAGAUGAGAGGUGCGGGCAGCGUCCGGAGAAGAGGCAAAGAGAGAAGAAGAGCGGGAGAGAAUCCAGUCAGCGUGCGCGCCAGCUGAGAAUCUUCAGGUUCACAACGAAGCCCGCCUGCCAAAUUUUCCACCCAAAGUGACCAGAUCCUGAGUUCCAGCCUCAUAGCUGGCAGAAGAGGCAAAAUCCAGCCAGCAACUCUUCUGGGUAGAGGCGAGAGACUGUUCUGGGGCCGGAUCCAAAUCCCAGCAAGGAUCGGGAAGCUGAGGUCCUAUCUGGGCCUCAGUUUCUACCAGGAGCCAGACAUGACAUUUGCCUGGAAAAGGAUAAGAGUCCCCGGGCUACCUCGCUCACCAUUCAGAUCCUCAUUCCGGACAGUCCAGGGCUCGGCAGAGUCAAAGUGGGUGUCCCC